rnacentral:rRNA from 1 species
CGAACGGAAACGAUGGAAGCUUGCUUCCAGGCGUCGAGUGGCGGACGGGUGAGUAAUGCUUAGGAAUCUGCCCAGUAGUGGGGGACAACACGGGGAAACUCGUGCUAAUACCGCAUACGCCUUACGAGGGAAAGUGGAGGAUCUUCGGACUUCACGCUAUUGGAUGAGCCUAAGUCGGAUUAGCUUGUUGGUGGGGUAAUGGCCUACCAAGGCGACGAUCCGUAGCUGGUCUGAGAGGACGAUCAGCCACACUGGGACUGAGACACGGCCCAGACUCCUACGGGAGGCAGCAGUGGGGAAUAUUGGACAAUGGGGGCAACCCUGAUCCAGCAAUGCCGCGUGUGUGAAGAAGGCCUGCGGGUUGUAAAGCACUUUCAGUAGAGAAGAAAAGCUUAGGGUUAAUACCCCUGAGUCUUGACGUAACCUACAGAAGAAGCACCGGCUAACUCCGUGCCAGCAGCCGCGGUAAUACGGAGGGUGCGAGCGUUAAUCGGAAUUACUGGGCGUAAAGCGCGCGUAGGCGGUCUGGUCAGUCGGAUGUGAAAGCCCCGGGCUUAACCUGGGAAUUGCAUUCGAUACUGCCAAACUAGAAUGUUGGAGAGGGAAGUGGAAUUUCCGGUGUAGCGGUGAAAUGCGUAGAGAUCGGAAGGAACACCAGUGGCGAAGGCGGCUUCCUGGCCAAACAUUGACGCUGAGGUGCGAAAGCGUGGGUAGCGAACAGGAUUAGAUAC